CACGCGCAUCUCCGGGAGAGAGAGACUUCGCUGUAUCACCGGCUGCGUCUCUGCCCAGGCAUCGUGUCGGAUGCCCACAGUUGAUGUCUACAUAGUCGUUUAAUUUAAACAGAGCGAGGCCACCUUUUUUAUUCGGUGUUUAGUCGUAUUUCACAUUCAGGAGUCAUCGCACUGGUUAUUCGGUCACAUUUGAAGGCUUCGCGUCCCGUAUCUUCUCGAGAGCUGUGCUAAGCAUUGUCGGCGGGGCUGGUCGCAAGAGAGAGAAGAGACUCCGUUUUAGAUUUGGAAUGAGAGAAUAAGAUGAAUUGAUAGCUUUUUGCAGUUUGAAAAUUAAAACAAAAAAUUGUUAAUUUCAAGGAAAAUUCCAACGGAAAAAUCUACUCGACAGUUUUUGUCAGAAAGGACCGAUUCAAAUUGCAGCAUACUCAAGGGAAAGUAUAGGAUCAUUUCCAACUAUUUGGAUGCGGACAUUUCACAGGAGAGCGCGCCAAAGCCCUAUGUGACUGGCAGGCUUUUUAUGAAGGAUAUAAUCUUUCGCCAACAGAAAACCAUGUCGUCCAGUGGGCUGUAAUGGAACAUCGUAUGUAGUUAUUUGAUCUUUGUCAUUGCUCCUUUUAAUUGGCAGGGCAAGGGGCAAGUAACAUUUUAUUGCCAAUCUUACAAAACGGUUGCCGUUUUUCUUCACGUUAAAGGCAACGGACAUAGGCAUUGUCAGGCGAUUUCUUUUACCGAAGUGUGACUCACACCAAGGACAGACACUUAAAACCGUCGACUUAAGCUGAAGGUCCAGGUCGUCCAAUCACAGCCCUUGGUCUGCGUUGCUUGCUGGGAGUGACAGAUCCCAGAGAGAGGCAGGAGAGACAGUGAUCAAUCUCUGAGGUGCUGUAGAUCCCCCC